UCCUCUUUAGAUCUUUAUGUCCCAUAUAAGUCACUGACCAGUUUUCUGUCUCUCUGAGUGUCUCUGAGUCUUUUAGCUGCCACUGGACUAAUGCUGCAAACAGGUCUGCUGCGGAACUGCCUGACCCCAGCUGCAUCCACCCUGGGCCCUGAGCUCCUCCAACUCUUUGGCUCUUUGGCUCCUCUGGACCGUUGCCGCAGACCCCCCCCCCCCCCCACAGGCCCUGAGCUCCUUCUUCUCUCUGAUUCCUCUGGACUGUUGCUGUUACUGUUACUGCAGACAUGGACAUCAGCCUCACUGUCAUUAUUGACAUUAAUAAUACAAAAUAGAAC